rnacentral:rRNA from 1 species
UACGUAGGGUGCGAGCGUUAAUCGGAAUUACUGGGCGUAAAGCGUGCGCAGGCGGUUUUGUAAGACAGGCGUGAAAUCCCCGAGCUCAACUUGGGAACUGCGUUUGAAACUGGGGAGGCUAGAGUGUGGAAGAGGGGGGGUGGAAUUCCAGGUGUAGCAGUGAAAUGCGUAGAGAUCUGGAGGAACACCGAUGGCGAAGGCAGCCCCCCUGGGCUAACACUGACGCUCAUGCACGAAAGCGUGGGGAGCAAACAGGAUUAGAGUACCCUG